GUACACGCUGUGACUAGCAUAUCAAUAAGCGGAGGAAAAGAAACUAACAAGGAUUCCCUCAGUAACGGCGAGUGAAGCGGGAAGAGCUCAAAUUUGAAAUCUUGAAAGGUCACCUUUCACGAAUUGUAGUUUAAAGAAGUGUUUUCUGUUACGAUCGUAAUAUAAGUUCUUUGGAAUAGGACAUCAUAGAGGGUGAGAAUCCCGUAUGAUUGACCAUUAUUUGUCAGCUUUGUGAUACACUUUCAAAGAGUCGGGUUGUUUGGGAAUGCAGCCCAAAACGGGAGGUAAAUUUCUUCUAAAGCUAAAUAUUGGCGAGAGACCGAUAGCGAACAAGUACCGUGAGGGAAAGAUGAAAAGAACUUUGAAAAGAGAGUUAAAUAGUAGCGUGAAAUUGUCAAAAGGGAAGCGUUUAACACCAGUGUUGUUUUCUGAAAAUCAACCUCUGUUAGGCUUUAUGCAUGUUUGUUUAGACCUAAUCAGCUAUCUUGCAUGUUCUAUUGGUUGCAGUGGUGCACUUUUCAGUUUACAGGUCAACAUCAGUUUUUUUUACCGUAAAAAAGUUAAAGAAAGGUAGCUCAUGGCUCCGGUCGUGAGUGUUAUAGUCUUUUUCCUAUGCGGUAGGAGAGACUGAGGUCUGCAGUGUAGGCUAUUUGGCUAGAUACUCAGGUGCUAUGUGAUACCAUUUCAUAAACAACUUGUUGAUUAUGUUUUGUCUAUUGCAUACUCGCUCGUACUAUCAUACCUACGCUUAGGAUGUUGAGUAGCGACAUACGCAC
rnacentral:rRNA from 1 species